rnacentral:rRNA from 1 species
AACGAACGCUGGCGGCAUGCCUAACACAUGCCAGUCGAACGAGACCUUCGGGUCUAGUGGCGCACGGAUGCGUAACGCGUGGGAACCUGCCUUUAGGUUCGGAAUAACUCAGAGAAAUUUGAGCUAAUACCGGAUGAUGUCUUCGGACCAAAGAUUUAUCGCCUUUAGAUGGGCCCGCGUUGGAUUAGCUAGUUGGUGGGGUAAAGGCCUACCAAGGCGACGAUCCAUAGCUGGUCUGAGAGGAUGAUCAGCCACACUGGGACUGAGACACGGCCCAGACUCCUACGGGAGGCAGCAGUGGGGAAUAUUGGACAAUGGGCGAAAGCCUGAUCCAGCAAUGCCGCGUGAGUGAUGAAGGCCUUAGGGUUGUAAAGCUCUUUUACCCGAGAUGAUAAUGACAGUAUCGGGAGAAUAAGCUCCGGCUAACUCCGUG